rnacentral:rRNA from 1 species
UACGAAGGGGGCUAGCGUUGCUCGGAAUUACUGGGCGUAAAGGGCGCGUAGGCGGACAGUUUAGUCAGAGGUGAAAGCCCAGGGCUCAACCUUGGAAUUGCCUUUGAUACUGACUGUCUUGAGUUCGGGAGAGGUGAGUGGAAUGCCGAGUGUAGAGGUGAAAUUCGUAGAUAUUCGGCGGAACACCAGUGGCGAAGGCGACUCACUGGCCCGAUACUGACGCUGAGGCGCGAAAGCGUGGGGAGCGAACGAGGAUUAUAA